AACGAACGCUGGCGGCAGGCUUAACACAUGCAAGUCGAGCGCCCCGCAAGGGGAGCGGCAGACGGGUGAGUAACGCGUGGGAACGUACCUUUUGGUUCGGAACAACUCCGGGAAACUGGAGCUAAUACCGGAUAAGCCCUAACGGGGAAAGAGUUAUCGCCGAAAGAUCGGCCCGCGUCUGAUUAGCUAGUUGGUGAGGUAACGGCUCACCAAGGCGACGAUCAGUAGCUGGUCUGAGAGGAUGAUCAGCCACACUGGGACUGAGACACGGCCCAGACUCCUCGGGGGGGCAGGAGGGGGAAAUAGUGAACAGGGGGCGCAGGCCUGACCCACCCGUGCCGGGGGAGGGAUGAGGGCUUUAGGGUUGAAAAGCUUUUUUGUCGGGAAAGAAAAUAACGGUACGGAAAAAAAAACCCAGGGCAAACUUCG
rnacentral:rRNA from 1 species